GAUAUCGAGAUUGACAUUCCUGAAGAGAAACCGAAAGAGCAGAAUAUGUUGGCAGCACUUAAUAAGGAAAAACUGGCAAGCAAGUUUAUGGCCUUUAAAGGUAAAGUAAUGAAACAAAUGAAGACUAAGAGUGAGAAAACUACCCCAAAGGAAGAGCAAAAAGAGAAGGUUGGCUCUGUUGAUGAAAUCAAGAGGAGAUAUGGAUUUUCGUCUGCUAUAAGAACAAUAUACAUACACAUGUCAUUAUGAAUUGCAUAUCCUAUUACUUUAUAUAAAUUGUAGUGUAUAUAGAAUGUCCCAUAGCAUACUCCUUUUCCUACAUUCCUUGAUCACCAUAUUUGCUGAUCAAGCUU